rnacentral:rRNA from 1 species
UCCGUAGGCGGGUAAUUAAGUCAGAGGUGAAAUCCCAUAGCUUAACUGUGGAACUGCCUUAGAUACUGGUUAUCUUGAGUUUUAGUGAAGUAGAUAGAAUGUGUAGUGUAGCGGUGAAAUGCAUAGAUAUUACACAGAAUACCGAUUGCGAAGGCAGUCUACUAACUAACAACUGACGCUAAUGGACGAAAGCGUGGGGAGCGAACAGGAUUAGAUACCCUGGUAGUCC